CAGGAUCACACCCUGAGCCGAAGGCAGACCCUCAACGACUGAGCCACCCAGGAGCCCCGAAUAAAAAAAGAAAAAAGAAAAUGGUAGAUUCUGGAAGCCAAUCCAUCCAGUGAGGAUUUUUACUUUCAAACAACAAAGGAAGAGGAACCAGUCUGAGUAGGGUGGUGUUUAUUCAAAAUCAUCUUGGGAGAAGCCUACAGAAUAAAAAGAUGGAAGACUGACAGUGUGGUCUGUAAUACAUCCACUGAUGAAAAAAUGCAAGCGCUCUGACUGUAAAACUGGAUAAAAAUAAUAAUAAAAAAAUACUGAGGCCUGGAUAAGUAUUGGUUAUAUGUGGAAAUACUGUGAAG